UACGUAGGGUGCGAGCGUUAAUCGGAAUUACUGGGCGUAAAGUGUGCGCAGGCGGUUUCGCAAGUCAAGUGUGAAAGCCCCGGGCUUAACCUGGGAACUGCACUUGAAACUACGGAACUCGAGUAUGGCAGAGGAAGGUGGAAGUUCCAACUGUGGUAGCGGUGAAAUUCGUAGAUAUUCGCAGGAACACCAGUGGCGAAGGCGACACGCUGGGCCGUACCUGACACUGAACCGCGACAGCAUGGGGAGCAAACAGG
rnacentral:rRNA from 1 species